CUCGGAUCAGGUAGGGAUACCCGCUGAACUUAAGCAU
rnacentral:rRNA from 1 species